AUAUUAAUAAGCGGAGGGAAAGAAAACAACUGUGAUUCCCUUAGUAAUGGCGAAUGAAACGGGAAGAGCCCAUCGUCAAAUUGCAAAUCUUUCCAGCUUUGUGAAAUGUGAUGUUUGGGAGGGUCUUCCACAACUUGGACGACCAGUCCGUAGAGGGUGAUAGGCCCAUAAGGUGGUUGUCUGGUUGUGCUGACCUCUCUCUAGAGUCGGAUUGCUUAGGAGUGCAGUCCAAAGUGCGAGGUAAACUCCUCGUAAGGCUAAAUAUUACCCCGAGACCGAUAGCGCACAAGUA
rnacentral:rRNA from 1 species